rnacentral:misc_RNA from 1 species
UUGGAGUGGGGGGUGGGGGGUAAGGGCCAGGUGGAUUCCWYGUCUCGGSMAGCGACACAUAUCCUCCMCGCCUCUUCAAUUGUUGGCAUGACCCUUGCUCGGCCGAUGUUUGGUUUUCCUGUGCUGAAUACCUAUCGUGAAGGCAUUCCGUUGGCUACAAAUGUCCCUUUCCCGCCUUGUGCUGCUGCCCCCCGCGGGCAAGCGGUGCGGGGUGGGCCAAAAUGCGCACGUCGUGUAUCGCACCGCGUUCGACCUCUCGGGGCGUUCGGGUUGACGACCCAUGACGUGAUGCUCGGUCCCUCGGAUACGGAAAAUCAUGUGGGUACGAGGCCAWUCGGCCUCCGAGCUCCACAAAUAAGCGUUCUACGCUUCGUGCGAACGACUGUCGUCCCGAUCUUKGGCCGKGYUCCCGUAGYUSGKUWMRGCCCGGGCCAACUCCGGGAAGAAAGGCUCCUGGGUGGAAUCCGGCAA